rnacentral:rRNA from 1 species
AUUGAACGCUGGCGGCAGGCCUAACACAUGCAAGUCGAACGAGUGGCGGACGGGUGAGUACUGUCUGGGAAACUGCCUGAUGGAGGGGGAUAACUACUGGAAACGGUAGCUAAUACCGCAUACCAUCAGAUGUGCCCAGAUGGGCUUAGCUAGUUGGUGGGGUAACGGCUCACCAAGGCGACGAUCCCUAGCGGGUCUGAGAGGAUGACCGUCCACACUGGAACUGAGACACGGUCCAGACUCCUACGGGAGGCAGCAUGGGGGAAUAUGGCACAAGGGGCGCAAGCCUGAUGCAGCCAGGCCGCGUGUAUGAAGAAGGCCUUCGGGUUGUAAAGGACUUUCAGCGGGGAGGCGUUACCCGCAGAAGAAGCACCGGCUAACUCCGUGCCAGCAGCCGCGGUAAUAC